AGCAGCCGCGGUAAUUCCAGCUCCAAUAGCGUAUAUUAAAGUUGCUGCAGUUAAAAAGCUCGUAGUUGAAUUUCGGGACUAAUAUGUCGGUCGUGCCUCGGUACGUACUGGUAUUUUUGGUUUCUCCCUUCUGACGAACCUUGAUGUCAUUAAUUUGGUGUCUUGGGAAAUCAGGACUGUUACUUUGAAAAAAUUAGAGUGUUUAAAGCAGGCUCACGCUUGAAUACAUUAGCAUGGAAUAAUGAAAUAGGACGUUUGAUUCUAUUUUGUCGGUUUCUAGGAUUGACGUAAUGAUUAAUAGGGAUAGUUGGGGGCAUUAGUAUUCAAUUGUCAGAGGUGAAAUUCUUGGAUUUAUUGAAGACUAACUACUGCGAAAGCAUUUGCCAAGGAUGUUUUCAUUAAUCAAGAACGAAAGUUAGGGGAUCGAAGACGAUCAGAUACCGUCGUAGUCUUAACCAUAAACUAUGCCGACUAGGGAUCGGAUGAUGUUAAUUUUUUAAUGACUCAUUCGGCGCCUUAC
rnacentral:rRNA from 1 species